GAGCUUAGCUUUUUACUGUAUGUCUUGUUUUUUGGUAAUUGAUGAGAGUAUGUAUUAAAAUAAGUUUCAAAAAUAAUUUUCAAAAGAAAGUAAUUUUGGCAGAUGAAGUAUUCACUUAUUCUUGUGACUUGGUGUAAUUGAAGACAUUUUGUUGUGGCCAUGUGCAGACAAGAAGGUUGAAGAUACAUAUAAGGAUGUUCAUUCAGUAUUAGCUCUUUUGCAUAUAUGAUCUGUUGUGCCUAAUUACUCUUGGAAUUCUGGAUAGUUACAUAAAAUACUUGUGAUAUUGGAAACAUUAAACUUGAAUUCGAUUCCUGGGUUUGAUUCCUUUCGGACACUCACUUUUACUCUUCCUGUAAAGGGCCUGUAAGCACAUGUGGGGCUUCACUAAAACCCUUCUAGUGUGGGAGCCAAACUGAGACAGGCUCAUUAUCAAUGCUUAGAUUCUUUCAGACAUAAAUAGGUUGCCUGGCAACAUCCUUUACACUUUCUCUAGAGUGUGUCCAUAGAAUUGUGUCCGAAAUGUUCACAGCUCUGGUUGGAAAAACAGAUCAGAAUAUCAGUAAAGGUCCUUGAAAGACUUUGUUUUAAGGUUUUUUUCAUUAUCCCUGCUCAUUAAAAUAGAUGUUAAACCACUGCA